CUGAUGAGUUGCUGCUGGUUCUCUAGGGAACAUGUGCACACUUGUCAUAUUUAUAUCUCCACCUGUGCACCUUUUGUAGACCUGGAUAUCUCUCUGAGUGUUAGCCACUCAGCUUACAUUUCCAGGCCUAUGUUUCUUCAUAUACCCCAAUGUAUGUCAUAGGAUGUAAUCAAUGGGCCUUUGUGCCUAUAAAUCUAUACAACUUUCAGCAACGGAUCUCUUGGCUCUCGCAUCGAUGAAGAACGCAGCGAAAUGCGAUAAGUAAUGUGAAUUGCAGAAUUCAGUGAAUCAUCGAAUCUUUGAACGCACCUUGCGCUCCUUGGUAUUCCGAGGAGCAUGCCUGUUUGAGUGUCAUUAAUAUAUCAACCUCUUCAUCUUUUGUUUGUCGAGUGUUGGAUGUGGGGGUUUUUUUUUGCUGGUCUUCUAAAAGGUCAGCUCCCCUGAAAUGUAUUAGCGGAACCUUCUGUGGACCGUUCAUUGGUGUGAUAACUAUCUACGCUAUUGACGCGAAGCAGUUCAGCUUCUAACAGUCCAUUGACUUGGACAAAUUUUCAUUAAUGUGACCUCAAAUCAGGUAGGACUACCCGCUGAACUUAAGCAUAUCAAUAAGCGGAGGAAAAGAAACUAACAAGGAUUCCCCUAGUAACUGCGAGUGAAGCGGGAAAAGCUCAAAUUUAAAAUCUGUCAGUCUUUGGCUGUCCGAAUUGUAAUCUAGAGAAGCGUUAUCCGCGCUGGACCGUGUACAAGUCUCCUGGAAUGGAGCGUCAUAGAGGGUGAGAAUCCCGUCUUUGACACGGACUGCCAGGGCUUUGUGAUGCGCUCUCAAAGAGUCGAGUUGUUUGGGAAUGCAGCUCAAAAUGGGUGGUAAAUUCCAUCUAAAGCUAAAUAUUGGCGAGAGACCGAUAGCGAACAAGUACCGUGAGGGAAAGAUGAAAAGAACUUUGGAAAGAGAGUUAAACAGUACGUGAAAUUGCUGAAAGGGAAACGCUUGAAGUCAGUCGCGUUGUCCAGGGAUCAACCUUGCUUUUGCUUGGUGUACUUUCUGGUUGACGGGUCAGCAUCAAUUUUGACUGUUGGAAAAAAGUCAGGGGAAUGUGGCAUCUUUGGAUGUGUUAUAGCCCUUGGCUGCAUACAAUAGUUGGGAUUGAGGAACUCAGCACGCCGCAAGGCCGAGUAAUUUUACUACGUACGUGCUUAGGAUGCUGGCAUAAUGGCUUUAAUCGACCCGUCUUG
rnacentral:rRNA from 1 species